UCAUUCUCCAGGUUGUAAGUGGGGCUCAGCUGUUCUUCUGGGACCGCUUACUUGGCUGUGCUCAUCUCAGCAGGGCUGCAGGAGAUCCAGAAGACACACGGAUGUCCUUCAACAUCUCCACUCAGAGCUGACACAAAGUAACUGUUGUCCACAUUCCAUUUCUCAGAGCAAGCACCCGACCAAAUCCAAAGAAACAGCAUCCUUGCCCUUCCUGCAAGAGUGGAGGGGAAGAAACUGGAAGCAAAUCAGGCUACAGUUUGAGUCACCAUUUUGAAGGGUGUGCCUAACACAAAUGUAGACAAGUUGUAGUCAUUGAUGAAGAAAAGCCAAUAAAAUAACAGCUUUGGGCCUGAUGCUGUGGCUCAUUCCUGUAAUCCCAGCAUUUUGGGAGGCUGACAAGGGCAGACCA